AUACUUACCUGGGACAGGGGCUACCGUGAUCAUGACGCCGGUUCCCCCAGGGUGAGACUUGUCCAUUGCACUUCGGCCAAGUUGAACCCUGCGAUUAUCCCUAAUGUGGAUACUCUUGUUAAAAUUUUUGAUAGCCGGGAUUUCCGAACGCACACACCCCAA